GCCAAUUUAGCUCAGCUGGUAGAGCAGCUCAUUCGUAAUGAGCAGGUCGUCGGUUCGAGUCCGACAAUUGGCUCCA
rnacentral:tRNA from 1 species